rnacentral:lncRNA from 1 species
GUGACUAAUAAAUCAUCCUAUGAAUGCUGGGAUCUGGUCAAUCAGAUCAGCCCUUCUUCCUCUGCUUACUCAACACUGAAGAUGUGUAUAAUGCGAGACAUCUGUCCUCUUUCCAUCUGGGGGCCGAAAAGGCCUGGGCUCGGGCAGAACACAGAGUAUCAAGAGCAGGAACAGAUGCUCGCCCCCACUGCCCACCUUCAGAUGCCCAACUAACAUAUGUCAGUGUAAAUGAAGGUGCCCUGGCCAAGAGCCACCCCGGCCAAGCCACCCAUCCACAGGGCUCCUCUUCAGAGCUGGUGUCUUCAGGAAGCCCGUUCUCCUCGGAGAGCUACACCCUACCCAGGGCUUCUGUACUCUGUGGUAUCUGCUGCACAGAAGGAAGGUGGCUUUCAGGGUUAAAAGGAAUCAACACGUGGCCAGACGUCUGACCUGUUAAACUGACAGCCAACUUCACACAGCAGCUCCACGAUGAAAGACACUCAAUAAAUAUUUGAAGUAAUUAAUGAAUUACUUAGUCAUGCUAAAAGACUUUGACCUAGCCUCUUUAGUUCCCACCAGUUGUCCUCCAGAUGAUAACACCAGCGAUCACUGUAAGCCACAGCACUGACCCCACCCCUCCACCACGUGUACCUGCCAUCCAUGGCUCCCUAUAGCACAUAUGGGACACAGUGAGAGGUGUUCAGGGCCACCCUCAGGGAGACCAUGCACCAGAACCCCAGCCACCUCCUCCCUGCCUCUAGCUUCCUCUCACACAGUCCCAUUCACACUCUGGGUUCCAACCAGAGUGAACAACAGCAGUGCCCCAGGCUGGUACUUGUACCUGUAUCCCUUCAGUUGCUG